UACGAAGGGGGCUAGCGUUGUUCGGAAUUACUGGGCGUAAAGCGCACGUAGGCGGACAUUUAAGUCAGGGGUGAAAUCCCAGAGCUCAACUCUGGAACUGCCUUUGAUACUGGGUGUCUUGAGUAUGGAAGAGGUGAGUGGAAUUCCGAGUGUAGAGGUGAAAUUCGUAGAUAUUCGCAAGAACACCAGUGGCGAAGGCGGCCAACUGGCCCGGAACUGACGCUGAGGUGCGAAAGCGUGGGGAGCAAACAGG
rnacentral:rRNA from 1 species